UACGGAGGGGGCGAGCGUUAUUCGGAAUUAUUGGGCGUAAAGGGCGCGUAGGCGGCUGUACAAGUCAAAGGUGAAAUCCCUCGGCUCAACUGAGGAACUGCCUUUGAAACUGUACGGCUUGAGGCCGGGAGGGGGUAGCGGAAUUCCCAGUGUAGCGGUGAAAUGCGUAGAUACUGGGAGGAACACCAGUGGCGAAGGCGGCUACCUGGACCGGUUCUGACGCUGAGACGCGAAAGCGUGGGGAGCGAACAGG
rnacentral:rRNA from 1 species